AGAGUUUGAUCAUGGCUCAGAAUCAACGCUGGCGGCGUGCCUAACACAUGCAAGUCGAGCGAGAAAAGGGGGGCAACUCCCUGAGUACAGCGGCGCACGGGUGAGUAACACGUGGGUAAUCUGCCCUGGAGUGGGGAAUAACACCGGGAAACCGGUGCUAAUACCGCAUACGAUAGCGAGGUCUGCGGACUUUGCUAUGAAAGGAGCAAUUCGCUCUAGGAGGAGCCCGCGGCUGAUUAGCUAGUUGGUGAGGUAAUGGCUCACCAAGGCUACGAUCAGUAUCCGGUCUGAGAGGACGGUCGGACACACUGGAACUGAGACACGGUCCAGACUCCUACGGGAGGCAGCAGUGGGGAAUUUUUGGCAAUGGGGGCAACCCUGACCAAGCAACGCCGCGUGGGUGAUGAAGUCUCUUGGGACGUAAAACCCUUUCGACGGGGAAGAAAACCGCAAGGUUUGACGGUACCCGUAGAAGAAGCCCGGCUAACUCCGUGCCAGCAGCCGCGGUA
rnacentral:rRNA from 1 species